rnacentral:tRNA from 6 species
CGGGACUUGGCGCAGUUUGGUAGCGCGCUUCGCUGGGGGUGAAGAGGUCGCAGGUUCGAAUCCUGUAGUCCCGACCA